rnacentral:piRNA from 1 species
UGGCUUCUGCAGGCCAAAAUCGACCUCAAGU